CGUCUAUAUACGUAUAGCAUAUCAAUAAGCGGAGGAAAAGAAACUAACUAGGAUUCCCUCAGUAACGGCGAGUGAAGCGGGAAGAGCUCAAAUUUGAAAUCUUAAAGGGUUCUACCUUGACGAACUGUAGUUUAAAGAAGUGUUUUCUGUUGGAGUUUUGGUAAAAGUUCUUUGGAAUAGGACAUCAGUAGAGGGUGAGAAUCCCGUAUUUGACCAUUAUUUCCAACUUUGUGAUACAGCUUUCAAAGAGUCGGAUUGUUUGGGAAUGCAGUCCAAAAUGGGUGGUAAAUUUCAUCUAAAGCUAAAUAUUGGCGAGAGACCGAUAGCGAACAAGUACCGUGAGGGAAAGAUGAAAAGAACUUUGAAAAGAGAGUUAAACAGUACGUGAAAUUGUCAAAAGGGAAGCGUUUGACACCAGUGUUGUUUUCUCGAAAAUCAAUUAAAAAUGGUGGGAUUUUGUGUUGUAUUGACUUUAUCAGCUUUCUGCACUUUUUUCCUAUCUUUUUUAAUGCACUUUUCGUUUAACAAGUCAACAUCAAUUUCUUUUGUUGUAAAAGAGUCAUUGGAAGGUGGCUUUCUUUUCGGAGAAAGUGUUUAUAGCCUUUGACUUCUGCAAUCGGAGAGAUUGAGGUCUGCAGCGUAGAUCCUUCGGGGUUAGAUGCAUUUGUGCUAAGCUAUAGCCUUUCAUAGACAACUUGUUGACUAUGAUCAGUCAUGUAGCUUACUCGCUUAUGUCAUUUUACCUACGCUUAGGAUGUUGACGAUCAGCUGAGCGCG
rnacentral:rRNA from 1 species